rnacentral:rRNA from 1 species
UACGUAGGGUGCGAGCGUUGUCCGGAAUUAUUGGGCGUAAAGAGCUCGUAGGCGGCCUGUCGCGUCGGUUGUGAAAGCCCGGGGCUUAACCCCGGGUCUGCAGUCGAUACGGGCAGGCUAGAGUUCGGUAGGGGAGAUCGGAAUUCCUGGUGUAGCGGUGAAAUGCGCAGAUAUCAGGAGGAACACCGGUGGCGAAGGCGGAUCUCUGGGACGGUACUGACGCUGAGACGCGAAAGCGUGGGGAGCGAACAGG